GGGAAGGUCAUGGCUCAGUGGUAGGACGCAUGUUUUGCGUGCAAAAGACUUCAGCUUCAAUCCCUGACCUCUCCA